GGCGCCCGGGCGCGCGCACGCGGGUCCCUCUUCACCUCCCGGGCGCCCUUCCAGCCCCGCCCCCCUCGCCAACAUUCCAUUCCCGCGUGGUCCACGUGGCUGUCACUUCUGGAGCCGCGGGCGCGAUCCGGGGACAUAACUGGGACCACCGGUGCAGCAUAAGCAGGCCGGGCGGAGGUGGCGUGGCGCGUUCUUGAUCCCGGUCCUCCCGUUACCCUCGGAGGCGCCCAGCCCCCCCUCCCCCUUUGGCCGCGGUCCCUGCCUGUUACCUCUGCUGCAGUGUGCUGCUUCCAUUUGCGCCCCUGACACCCGGGCUGGCGCGGCUUUCCCUGCGGGGCCAGCGCCGCAGCGGAUCCGAGCUGGCCGUUCCGAGACUUCCCAAGCCCGGGAACAAGACAGGGCUGAACUGCCUCAGUCACCGCCGUCGCUGACCGUCAAUCCAACCAGCAGACGCUCUGCGUCUGCGAAGGGUGGGCCUGGGAAGGAGGGACGGAGAAAAACGCGGAAGAUGCAAACGAACUUUACCACCAAGGUGAAGAUUCGGGAUUUAAAUGAGAAGGACGCAGAAGAGCCAGGAUGAGCCGGGAUGAUGGUGAUGAUGAUGGUGAUGAUGAUGAUGAUGGUGAUGAGGAUGGUGAUGAUGAAUUCGCCUGAGGAUCAGAUGAUGAAGAGUGGCUCACUGUCAAGCUCUUGUCGUGUGUUAAGCUCCGUGUGUGUUACCACGUUUAGCCCAUGGAAGAAGUUAUUGUUAGCUCCCACCCAUUUCACAGAUCUUUUACCUGGAUAAUGACUGAUUCUGGAGGCUUCAACUCACACCUCUCCAGCUACAUUUCUGCCUAUUCUGAAGACAUCUUCAACUCAACCUGACCUACACUGAACGUCUCCCUUUUGACAGACCCUGUUGGUUGCCUGCCUCUUGGCUAUUCUCCCACUCUUUCUCAAUAAGAGAACUCUAAUUUUAUCACAAAUGGCAAUGCACCUAGAUAAAAGAUUCAUAUUCCCCAGUCUCCAUUAUCCUUAUAUCCACGUGACUGGCUUCUGAUCUGUGUGAAGAAUUGUCUAGAACCUUCUGGAAGUGUCUCAAAGGGAAUUGACCCAGCUGUAAGCCAUACCAUUUUGCUCUCCUCUUUUGGUCCUUCUUCCAGCUGUCUGAAAUAAAAUCAGGAUUUUUGGAGCUCCAGUAGUUAUUUUGGACUUUGAGAAGAAAGAGAAGAGAGGCAGCUUGUUCACAGUGCCCCAGCAGGGACUUGAACCCAGGACACCAGCCCAACUACCAGCAGGACAUAGAGAGAGAGGCAGAGACACAGGAGGAG